AGCCGGGAUUACAGGCAUGUGCCACCAUGCCCCGUUGGCCAGGCUGGUCUCGAACACCUUACCUCAGGUGAUCCUCCCACCUUUGGGAUUACAGCAGGCUGAGGAAUUACCAAGGAGGCAGGAGGUGGAGCAAAACACACCAAGCCUGGUGCCAAUCAUUGACAAUAUUAUGACCCUGCAUGUGAUGGAUCAGCUGACACCAUCCAGAUCGGUAAACUGGUUCAUCUGAUCUUGUGCCCUCCACCCAGGAACUGACUCAGCGCAAGAAGACAGCUUCGACUCCUUGUGAUUUCAUCCCUAACCAAUCAGCACUCCUGGCUCACUGGCUUCCCCCAACCCACCAAAUUGUCCUUAAAAACUCUGCUCUCCAAACGCUGGGGGAGACUGAUUUGAGUAAUAAUAAAACCCUGGUCUCCUGCA
rnacentral:lncRNA from 10 species